AACAUGGUCUUUUGAUUUUAAUUUAAGAUCUGACCUGCCCAAUGAAUUUUUAAUGGCCGCAGUAUAUUGACUGUGCAAAGGUAGCAUAAUAAUUAGUUUUUUAAUUGAAAGCUUGUAUGAAUGGUUGGACGAGAUAAAGUCUGUCUUUAUUUAAUUUAUUGUAGAAUUUAAUUUUUAAGUUAAAAAGCUUAAAUUUUUUUAAAAGACGAGAAGACCCUAUAAAGCUUAAUAUAAAAUUUUAAAUUUAAUUUUUUUGAAAAAUUACAUUAAUUUUAUUUUUUUUAUUUGAUUGGGGUAAUUUAAAGAUAAAAGUAAUUCUUUAUUAUUUAAAACAUUAAUUUAUGAAUUUAUGAUCCAUUAUUAUUGAUUAUAAGAUUAAGUUACUUUAGGGAUAACAGCGUAAUUUUUUUAAAGAGUUCAUAUCGAUAAAAGAGUUUGCGACCUCGAUGUUGGAUUAAAAAUUAUUUAGGGGGUAGAAUUUCUAAAAAUUGGUCUGUUCGACCAUUAAAUUUUUACGUGAU
rnacentral:rRNA from 1 species